CCUUCCCUAAUACUUCCCUCUUGGCAAACAAUUGCAUUACAGUUCUAUUUCAAACAAAACCCAUGACAAUUUCAUUUCUGUCUCAAACUAAACCCACAAUUUAAUUUCUCUCUUAAAGCCAAUCCACCAUUUCAUCUUCAUCUUCUCAAAACAAAUGUAAGCUAUACUUUAACCAUCAUUCUUCAAUUUCAACGGAUAAUCACUGUUGAUUCUGCUAUUAUUGUGCUUAACAAGCGUCCAAAAUUACCCGUGAAGAUGAUUGCUUAAGUGAGCAUGUUUAUAUAUGGCACUCGAGUGUAUAUGCUCAUUCUUUUCUUACCAACUCGUACUGGAAUAUUUGCCAGGGGAAUUUACCUGUUCAUAUCAGCAUGGAUGCUUUAGCUGCUGCUGCAUUAACGUAUGAUUAUGAGGAAGGUCCGCAGUUGGUUUCAAAGGGAAUGUUUAGGUUAGAGCAAGCAUGUAAUCUCGCACAUCAGAACUCUCGACCAAAGAUAGCUAGCAGUGUUGCUAAUUCUGUUUCACAAGUUUGAAAGGGAAUGUUUAGGUCAGAGCAAGCAUGGAUCCUCGCACAACAAGGCUCUCGAUCACAGAGAACUAGUACUGUUGCUAUUCUUAUUCAGGGCGUUCCUACUUCCUUGAAUGUGAAACAAACAUGGGGUAUACCAUCAAAAUCACAACUUCCAGCUUCUUUUCCUAGUCGCUUAAGCACAUUGCCGAACAUUUCACCAUUUUUACCUUCAUUUUCCCAACCACCACCAAGUAUAGCUCCAAAUCAAUCUUAUGGUCACAAUGGUCAUUCAUCUUCUUCAUAUGAGUCACAGUUUCAACCUGGAGUAUCCUUAGGAGAUUCAUCCAAGUAUGCUAAUAAUAAAUCACAAACAAAUGUAUCUUCAUCGCAACGAAUUGACGAUGGUUGUAGUGCUGAUGAGGAUGAUGAGGUUGCAUCAGUUUGAAGAAUCCAAUUGAGAUAGUUGAUGCAAAUGGAGAUUGCAAACUCAAGCAUAACAUGAAAGUCAGAGAUGUCUAUAAAUUGCAAGAGGGUGAAAAGGUUGUAGUCCAUGUCAAUGAAUAUGGACAACCUAUUGAAGAUGCUAGAAGAGUCUUAACUAGGUGGAUGACAAAAUUAGUGAAGCAACCAAAUUUAUGUCCUCCAGAUGUUAAAGAUUUCCAUGAGCUAAAAGAAAUUUGCGGUUGUCAUCUACUAAGAUUAGUUCGGGAGAGAUUUUCUUUUCCUAAUCAAGAUAAUGUAGACCGUGCUUUGUUAUCUAUGUUUGAUGCCAAAUUCAGCAAAAUAAGUAUAAGAUAACAAAGAAACUUUACAAACUUUACAUUUACAUUUGAUAUGUUACAUAAAAGCAUUUUUCAAUUUUAUAUUGUGCAUAUACUAUUCAAAUAUUUAAUUUCAAUAUCUAUUUUUAUUGUAGGAUGAUAGUAUAUUUACUUCUUAAUGGAAGUAUAGUUAUAUUAACAAAUUUAAGUAUCAUAAUUAUUUAUAUAAUGAUAGCUCUAAU